GGCUUAGAUACCUCGGUAGGUCCAGGCGGUGAAAUGAUGUCGAGUAGCUGCAGGGUUCAGUGAGGACUUAGUAACGCAGGUCAUGCGUUAUCUUGGCCGCUUGUGAGUGCGGCCGCAAGGUUAAAACUCUGAUUAUUGACGGGGCGCGCACAAGCGGAGGAGUAUGUGAUCUAAUUCGGGAUACGCGAGGAACCUUACCAGGGAUGAAACUAGUCUGACAGAUUUGGAAACUGAUUCUUCUUCGUACAGUUUCCAAGGUGUAAGCAGGGUUGUUGUCGUCUCCCCACCGGUAGGUGACCGGUUAGGUCCUAUACCGGCACACAACGAUGGUUGUUAGUGGCUAUCGAGCAUUGUCCGAUAUUCUAGCAAGAUGCCUCCGGCAAGAGGCGAGUAUGGGGGUGAGGACGUCAAAGCGUCGGGGCCCUUUCGUGAUGGGUCACGCUCAUUUCACAAUGGGUGGGACACAGAGCAGCCAAUAUGAGAGUAGGAGUGAAUUUCUUGUGCCGGUGACAGUUCGGAUGGGAUUCCGUAAGUCGUGUCUGUGAAGCGGGAAUCGCAAGCAAGAGGACAUCAGCCAUGAUCCGGCUUUUAAACUGGUUUGGGAAAACCAAAUAUAUUAUAUAUUUUGCUUUGUUCAAAAUAAGGUUUUCUAAUAAAUUAUGUUUUUAUCAGAUAUGACAGAAUCUUUUUUAAAAUCUCUUCAAUAUGCUUUUAUUGCUUUUGAGAGGUUUUGUUACUUUGAGUAAAAUUAAGUGUUCAUAACAGACGGGUAGUCAUGAUUGAGUUCAUUGUGUA
rnacentral:rRNA from 1 species